UGGGGAAUAUUGGACAAUGGGCGCAAGCCUGAUCCAGCCAUGCCGCGUGAGUGAUGAAGGCCUUAGGGUUGUAAAGCUCUUUUAGCAGGGAAGAUAAUGACGGUACCUGCAGAAAAAGCCCCGGCUAACUUCGUGCCAGCAGCCGCGGUAAUACGGAGGGGGCUAGCGUUGCUCGGAAUUACUGGGCGCAAAGCGCACGUAGGCGGACUCUUAAGUCGGUGGUGAAAUCCUGCAGCUUAACUGCAGAAUUGCCAUUGAUACUGUUAGUCCUGAGUACAGUUGAGGUAGGCGGAAUGUGUCAUGUAGCGGUGAAAUGCUUAGAUAUGACACAGAACACCGAUUGCGAAGGCAGCUUGCUAAGCUGUAACUGACGCUGAGGCACGAAAGCGUGGGUAGCGAACA
rnacentral:rRNA from 1 species